rnacentral:rRNA from 1 species
UACGUAGGGGGCAAGCGUUGUCCGGAAUCAUUGGGCGUAAAGAGCGUGUAGGCGGCCAGAAAAGUCCGCUGUGAAAACUCGAAGCUCAACUUCGAGCUGUCGGUGGAAACUUUCUGGCUAGAGUCCGGAAGAGGAGAAUGGAAUUCCUGGUGUAGCGGUGAAAUGCGCAGAUAUCAGGAAGAACACCCGUGGCGAAGGCGGUUCUCUGGGACGGUACUGACGCUGAGACGCGAAAGCGUGGGGAGCGAACAGG